AUUGAACGCUGGCGGCGUGCUUAACACAUGCAAGUCGAUCGGUAACGCGGGGGCAACCCUGGCGACGAGAGGCGGACGGGUGAGGAACGCUUGGGAAUCUGCCUAUCAGCGGGGGGCAACACGGGGAAACUCGUGCUAAUACCGCAUACGCUCUACGGAGGAAAGCCGGGGACCGCAAGGCCUGGCACUGAUAGAUGAGCCCAAGCCGGAUUAGCUAGUUGGCGGGGUAACGGCCCACCAAGGCGACGAUCCGUAGCUGGUCUGAGAGGACGAUCAGCCACACUGGGACUGAGACACGGCCCAGACUCCUACGGGAGGCAGCAGUGGGGGAUAUUGGACAAUGGGGGAAACCCUGAUCCAGCGACGCCGCGUGGGUGAAGAAGGCCUGCGGGUUGUAAAGCCCUUUCGGUAGGGACGAAAGCUCUCGACCUAACACGUCGGGAGGUUGACUUAACCUACAAAAGAAGCACCGGCUAACUCUGUGCCAGCCGCCGCCGUAAUAC
rnacentral:rRNA from 1 species